GCGUUCUGUAAGCCUGUGAAGGUGUGCUGUGAGGCAUGCUGGAGGUAUCAGAAGUGCGAAUGCUGACAUAAGUAACGAUAAAGCGGGUGAAAAGCCCGCUCGCCGGAAGACCAAGGGUUCCUGUCCAACGUUAAUCGGGGCAGGGUGAGUCGACCCCUAAGGCGAGGCCGAAAGGCGUAGUCGAUGGGAAACAGGUUAAUAUUCCUGUACUUGGUGUUACUGCGAAGGGGGGACGGAGAAGGCUAUGUUGGCCGGGCGACGGUUGUCCCGGUUUAAGCGUGUAGGCUGGUUUUCCAGGCAAAUCCGGAAAAUCAAGGCUGAGGCGUGAUGACGAGGCACUACGGUGCUGAAGCAACAAAUGCCCUGCUUCCAGGAAAAGCCUCUAAGCAUCAGGUAACAUCAAAUCGUACCCCAAACCGACACAGGUGGUCAGGUAGAGAAUACCAAGGCGCUUGAGAGAACUCGGGUGAAGGAACUAGGCAAAAUGGUGCCGUAACUUCGGGAGAAGGCACGCUGAUAUGUAGGUGAAGUCCCUCGCGGAUGGAGCUGAAAUCAGUCGAAGAUACCAGCUGGCUGCAACUGUUUAUUAAAAACACAGCACUGUGCAAACACGAAAGUGGACGUAUACGGUGUGACGCCUGCCCGGUGCCGGAAGGUUAAUUGAUGGGGUCAGCGCAAGCGAAGCUCUUGAUCGAAGCCCCGGUAAACGGCGGCCGUAACUAUAACGGUCCUAAGGUAGCGAAAUUCCUUGUCGGGUAAGUUCCGACCUGCACGAAUGGCGUAAUGAUGGCCAGGCUGUCUCCACCCGAGACUCAGUGAAAUUGAACUCGCUGUGAAGAUGCAGUGUACCCGCGGCAAGACGGAAAGACCCCGUGAACCUUUACUAUAGCUUGACACUGAACAUUGAGCCUUGAUGUGUAGGAUAGGUGGGAGGCUUUGAAGUGUGGACGCCAGUCUGCAUGGAGCCGACCUUGAAAUACCACCCUUUAAUGUUUGAUGUUCUAACGUGGACCCGUGAUCCGGGUUGCGGACAGUGUCUGGUGGGUAGUUUGACUGGGGCGGUCUCCUCCUAAAGAGUAACGGAGGAGCACGAAGGUUGGCUAAUCCUGGUCGGACAUCAGGAGGUUAGUGCAAUGGCAUAAGCCAGCUUGACUGCGAGCGUGACGGCGCGAGCAGGUGCGAAAGCAGGUCAUAGUGAUCCGGUGGUUCCGCAUGGAAGGGCCAUCGCUCAAAGGAUAAAAGGUACUCCGGGGAUAACAGGCUGAUACCGCCCAAGAGUUCAUAUCGACGGCGGUGUUUGGCACCUCGAUGUCGGCUCAUCACAUCCUGGGGCUGAAGUAGGUCCCAAGGGUAU
rnacentral:rRNA from 1 species